AACCACACAGUCUCAAGUGAGUGUAAUUUGUUUGUAGCCAAAUCACCACAACUGUUGUGGCUAGACAAGCUAGCUAACGUUAUUGCCUAGCUACAAAUUCACUGUUCUAUGAAGUUUGUGUUCUCAGUUGUGUUUGAUUUGACCGUCUAUUAUUGACCGUGUUGUGUGGUUAAUGUGUGGUCUAUAUAUGGUCAGAGGGACCUGGGGUGCAGAUGGUGGUGGAGGUGUUUGGCGUGAAGAGGACAGUGAAUUCAGUGGAGGACAUCCCAGCCACUUGACAGUGUUGGCACUGUUACUUCCUACCUGACGGGUGAAGGAUGAUAAACCCGUGUUUGAGAAGAGGUGUCUGGUGUGGGAGAACAUGCGGAUUCCCUCAAAGUUCCUGAAGGAGGAGUUGAAGGCGGAGCAUGCGUAGUACCUGCGGCAACACCCAGGUCUAUCUGUCUUCAGAGGGAUCUAGGGUGCAGACAGCAGAUGGUGGUGGUGGUGGAGAUGUUUGGGGUGGAGAGGACAGUGGAGAGGACAUCCCAGCUACUUGGCAGUGUUGGUGUAACAGUAUAACUUUAGACCGUCCCCUCGCCCAUACCGGGCGCGAACCAGGAACCCUCUGAACACAUCAACAACAGUCACCCACGAAGCAUCGUUACACAUCGCUCCACAAAAGCCGCGGCCCUUGCAGAGCAAGGGGAACCACUACUUCAAGGUCUCAGAGCAAGUGACGUCACCGAUUGAAACGCUAUUUAGCUAGCUAACUAAGCUAGCCGUUUCACAUCCGUUACAUUGGGACUGCUACUUCCUACCUGACGGGAGUUGAAGAUGCCUUGUACCAGCGGCAGCACCCAGAGCUCCAAGCCAUGAUGGGUCGACUUCCUGCAGUUCCUGCUACUACGAAAACUGAGCGAGGUCAUCAUGUUCGCCCGCAAGGACUUCUUUGCCUCCUGCCAACUCCCGGGUGGCACCUUGAACACCUCCUCACCUUGAGGACACACAUUGUGGCUGCGUCUGUGUCUCAAUAGUCUAGUAGCUUUCUUUGACUGGCACUUUAGUGAGGACAAUACUAUUCUGGUUGGCACUUGUCACCAGUAUGUACAGAGGCCCUCGAGAUCUAGAGUAUUAAUAAAAUACGAAUGCUUUUAUGGAUGUUUUUUAUUUUGUGAUGUUUUUACUGUUUGUAUGAGGUGCACUGAAACAAAUUCCUAAUCAACUCUGUUAUGGAAAUCGCAAGAGGUCCAGUUAUGUCACAGUUAUUGUGAAUGAAAAUAAAAUGUAUCAUUUCAUGUCUUGUAUGUUUCCCAUGCUUAAUUUCUGUGGAGUAAUUCCAGUAACUGCUCAUUUGCUUUGGCUCUAAUCUGA